rnacentral:rRNA from 1 species
GACGAACGCUGGCGGCGUGCUUAACACAUGCAAGUCGAACGGUGAAGGGACUGGUUUUGCUGGUCCUGGAUGAGUGGCGAACGGGUGAGUAACACGUGAGUAACCUGCCCCCUUCUUCUGGAUAACCGCAUGAAAGUGUGGCUAAUACGGGAUAUUCUGGGUCUGUCGCAUGGUGGGCCUGGGAAAGAUUGCGCCUUUUUUGGUGUUUUUGGUGGGGGAUGGGCUCGCGGCCUGUCAGCUUGUUGGUGGGGUGAUGGCCUACCAAGGCGGUGACGGGUAGCCGGCCUGAGAGGGUGGACGGUCACACUGGGACUGAGACACGGCCCAGACUCCUACGGGAGGCAGCAGUGGGGAAUAUUGCACAAGGGGCGCAAGCCUGAUGCAGCGACGCCGCGUGAGGGAUGGAGGCCUUCGGGUUGUGAACCUCUUUCGCCAGUGAAGCAGGCCUGCCUCUUUUUGUGGGUGGGUUGACGGUAGCUGGAUAAGAAGCGCCGGCUAACUACGUG